rnacentral:lncRNA from 1 species
AUCCAGCAUUGUCACUGCUGUGGCUCUCCUGACCCCAACAACUUCUGCAUGCUGCAGAUGUGGCAAAAACAUACAUAAAUAAAAAAUUAAAAAAAAAAUACGUCUUUGAAACAGAAGCCACAAAUGGCCUGAGGCGACCUGUGCAUUUAUUGCUGACAUUACUGGAGCUCUUGAGUAUUUUGAAAGCAACCCCCAGAAACAAACCGGCUUUGCCAUCAGUCAUAAUAAGGAUCUGAUGGGUAGGGACAAACAGGGACAUGGGAAGAGAGCGGGGAGGCUCAGGACCGUGGGAGCCGAGUAGGAAUGUUUGGCGAGCAUGCGAGGAGCAGCUGCUCCCUGUGAGCUGGGCAUUUGGGGCUUGAUGAGAGACAGACAAGGUCUCGGCUGGCUGAGGUCAUUGAAACCACUCGCUGGAGGCGUGGGUGCAGUUCAUUGGGAAGGCCAGUGGCCCUCUGUCACAGGAAGGGUCUGUCACAUGAAGGGCUUUGCUGGUCUCUGACAGUCGAGAGUCAUCCUUGCCCUGGGGCCAGGAACGAGGCAAGAGAGCGCUCUGGGGCUUGAGUCGGGGCCAGGAAUGCCAGGCACAGUCCGGGAAGGAGCCAAAGAAGAUGACUCUGGCAUGUUCCCGGGGAAGGCCCAGAAGAGCAUAGAGCCUCCUCCUGCCACCAGAGACCCACCUGGCUUCAAGUCCCACUUCUGCUACUUACUAGCUGUGCCAGGCUGGCAAACCCAAGCUCUCUCUCAGACUGCUUUAUUUUUUGUUAAUUUUAAUUUUUAAAAUUAAAGUAUAGUUGAUUUACAGUGUUGUGCCAAUUUCUAUUAUACAGAAAAGUAACUCCGUCAUAUACAUAUAUACACAUACACACAUUCUUUUUUUGUUUGCUUUUUUUAGGGCCACACCUGAAGCAUGAGGAAGUUCCUGGGCUAGGGGUCAAACUGGAGCUGCAGCUGCCGGCCUACACCAGAGCCACAGCAACUCAGGAUCAAAGCUGCUCCUGUGACCCGUGUUCCAGCUUUAGGUAACACUAGAUCCUUAACCCACUGAUUGAGGCCAGGGAUUGAACCUGCAUCCUCAUGAAUGCUAGUCGGGUUCUUAACCCACUGAACCACAACAGGAACUCCUCUUUUUAAAAAAAAAAUAUAUAUUUUUUUUGUCUUUUGUCGUUU